UACGUAGGGUGCGAGCGUUGUCCGGAAUUACUGGGCGUAAAGAGCUCGUAGGUGGUUUGUCGCGUUGUUCGUGAAAACUCACAGCUUAACUGUGGGCGUGCGGGCGAUACGGGCAGACUGGAGUACUGCAGGGGAGACUGGAAUUCCUGGUGUAGCGGUGGAAUGCGCAGAUAUCAGGAGGAACACCGGUGGCGAAGGCGGGUCUCGUGGGCAGUGAACUGACGCUGAGGAGCGAAGGCCAGGGGAGCAAACGG
rnacentral:rRNA from 1 species